UACGUAGGGCGCAAGCGUUGUCCGGAAUUAUUGGGCGUAAAGAGCGCGUAGGCGGUCUGUUGCGUCCGCUGUGAAAACCCAGGGCUUAACCCUGGGCUUGCAGUGGAUACGGGCAGACUAGAGGCAGGUAGGGGAGAAUGGAAUUCCCGGUGUAGCGGUGAAAUGCGCAGAUAUCGGGAGGAACACCGGUGGCGAAGGCGGUUCUCUGGGCCUGACCUGACGCUGAGGAGCGAAAGCGUGGGGAGCGAACAGG
rnacentral:rRNA from 1 species